CCGACCCUCUCCUUCCUGUGACUGCGUCUCCGUUCCACUUCACCCCUCACAUUUAUUUCUCUGAGAAACGUAUGUAAUUAUGGAUUCCAAUCGACGAUGGCCACUACAUCCUCAUCAAAGCCUCCUUAAUUUCACUUCAAGCUCACUGAUGGAGCAUGCAUAUAUACAUAGACAUCUGUUCCGCUUGCUGAUCAUUUUUCCGUCCGUAUGAUCAUUAUUCCCAAAAACUCACAGUGUACUUCGAGAAUGGCGAAUCAGUUGAUGCAUUUCUCCGAGCUCAAGGCUGGUCAUUGUAGCAGACUGUUGUGACAAAGCUCUUUCAUUUCUGUUGUAACACCAAGUUGCCAGUUUUAUAGAUGUUGUUGCUGAAGUUAUGGAUAUCACAACUGCUUACAGUGAAGAAACACGAAGCAUUCAACUUAUUAUGGCAAAUCUACGCAUUCGCAUUCACAGGUCGUGCCCACUUAUCCUUUUAAUGUUGGUAAAACUCUUUAAAAAAUUUAUGUUGGUGUUAAUUGAUAUGAGUUUGCAUUCGUCUCUUCCCAAACGCUGGUACACAACGUUCUGUGUGAGUGUCUUUGACGGCUUAGCUAUGCAGCUUAAUGCGGAAUUUUGUGGCAAUGUUGUGGUCUUUUUCUUAACGCUACCUUGAGGAACCCAUUUUUUACUUAGACAGGAAGAUAACUGUUGGCGACAACUACCUCAAAGGACAGGGGUUUUGAGCAGUAAUGACGGUGUGAAGAAGAUUGAGUCAAUGACUCUAUCUUAACAACUCACUAAUACUGUUUUAAUCUGCCUCAUACUAACUCAAUCAAUUCUAGACUGCCUGAGUUCCUCUGUAUUGGGUAAGUUGUCAGCAUUGAAUCAUCAAAUGGGUGGUGAUAUGUAUGCUCCAAAUGCUCCCGGAAACUUCAUCGGGGGUUCUCAUCCUUCAUGUGUGCAGCCUGCCAUGAUGAAAACCCUGUUGGGUUGUAAGGUUGAUGUCAGAGUAUGAUGCAGCUGGUACUGCCAUGUUCAUUGCUUCUGAUGAUGAGAUUAACAAGUUUACCAGGGUUCCUGCCGCUGAGUUAUUGUUACUUAAUUCAAAACCUCCUUUCCUGUAGGUAUACAUGUCACUGUUGUCCACUACUCUACUAUCUACUAACGAAGGCACAUAUUUGUUUUAAUAUGUCGUACUUGAGUGCAUAGCUCUGUUUAAAAGUUUAGAUUGGGUUUGUUUUAGAAUUGCGUAUUCAGCAAGUAAUAUAUGCUUAAUUGUCUUUUUAAAAA